rnacentral:tRNA from 1 species
AAGGCACUAGUAAAAAGGCCAUUACACUGCCUUGUCAAGGCAGAUUUGUGGGUUAAAACCCCGCGUGCCUUA